rnacentral:rRNA from 1 species
AGUGAACGCUGGCGGCAGGCCUAACACAUGCAAGUCGAACGGCAGCACAGCAGUAGCAAUACUGUGGGUGGCGAGUGGCGGACGGGUGAGGAAUACAUCGGAAUCUGCCUAGUCGUGGGGGAUAACGUAGGGAAACUUACGCUAAUACCGCAUACGACCUACGGGUGAAAGCGGGGGAUCGCAAGACCUCGCGCGAUUAGAUGAGCCGAUGUCCGAUUAGCUAGUUGGCGGGGUAAUGGCCCACCAAGGCGACGAUCGGUAGCUGGUCUGAGAGGAUGAUCAGCCACACUGGAACUGAGACACGGUCCAGACUCCUACGGGAGGCAGCAGUGGGGAAUAUUGGACAAUGGGCGGCAAGCCUGAUCCAGCCAUGCCGCGUGGGUGAAGAAGGCCU